rnacentral:tRNA from 1 species
CCAUCUUUACCCAGGCCGGGGUGCCGCCGCUCGCCGGGCGGCCUCCUGGUCGGCAAGCAGGCUGGGCGGCCGGCUCAGUAGCCGACGAGACGGU